UACGGAGGGGGCUAGCGUUGUUCGGAAUUACUGGGCGUAAAGCGCACGUAGGCGGACCAGCAAGUUAGGGGUGAAAUCCCGGGGCUCAACCCCGGAACUGCCUUUAAAACUGUUGGUCUGGAGGUCGGGAGAGGUGAGUGGAAUUCCGAGUGUAGAGGUGAAAUUCGUAGAUAUUCGGAGGAACACCAGUGGCGAAGGCGGCUCACUGGCUCGAUUCUGACGCUGAGGUGCGAAAGCGUGGGGAGCAAACAGG
rnacentral:rRNA from 1 species